rnacentral:precursor_RNA from 14 species
AAGUGCCAUAGUCCACAGUCGCCUAUAUGUACCCUGUAGAAUCGAAUUUGUGUGAACAUUUCAGAGUCACAAAUUCGUCUCUAGGGGAAUAUAUGGACGAUGCCAGAGCCUUGUAAAGUU